CUUCCAGGAAAAGCCUCUAAGCUUCAGAUAGUCAGGAAUCGUACCCCAAACCGACACAGGUGGUCGGGUAGAGAAUACCAAGGCGCUUGAGAGAACUCGGGUGAAGGAACUAGGCAAAAUGGUACCGUAACUUCGGGAGAAGGUACGCUCUUGAUGGUGAAGUCCCUUGCGGAUGGAGCUGACGAGAGUCGCAGAUACCAGGUGGCUGCAACUGUUUAUUAAAAACACAGCACUGUGCAAAAUCGCAAGAUGACGUAUACGGUGUGACGCCUGCCCGGUGCCGGAAGGUUAAUUGAUGGGGUUAGCGCAAGCGAAGCUCUUGAUCGAAGCCCCGGUAAACGGCGGCCGUAACUAUAACGGUCCUAAGGUAGCGAAAUUCCUUGUCGGGUAAGUUCCGACCUGCACGAAUGGCGUAAUGAUGGCCACGCUGUCUCCACCCGAGACUCAGUGAAAUUGAAAUCGCUGUGAAGAUGCAGUGUACCCGCGGCUAGACGGAAAGACCCCGUGAACCUUUACUACAGCUUGGCACUGAACAUUGAACCUACAUGUGUAGGAUAGGUGGGAGGCUAUGAAGACGUGACGCUAGUUGCGUUGGAGCCGUCCUUGAAAUACCACCCUUGUAUGUUUGAUGUUCUAACUUAGCCCCAUUAUCUGGGGUGAGGACAGUGCCUGGUGGGUAGUUUGACUGGGGCGGUCUCCUCCCAAAGAGUAACGGAGGAGCACGAAGGUGGGCUAAUCACGGUUGGACAUCGUGAGGUUAGUGCAAUGGCAUAAGCCCGCUUAACUGCGAGAAUGACGGUUCGAGCAGGUGCGAAAGCAGGUCAUAGUGAUCCGGUGGUUCUGUAUGGAAGGGCCAUCGCUCAACGGAUAAAAGGUACUCCGGGGAUAACAGGCUGAUACCGCCCAAGAGUUCAUAUCGACGGCGGUGUUUGGCACCUCGAUGUCGGCUCAUCACAUCCUGGGGCUGAAGUCGGUCCCAAGGGUAUGGCUGUUCGCCAUUUAAAGUGGUACGCGAGCUGGGUUUAGAACGUCGUGAGACAGUUCGGUCCCUAUCUGCCGUGGGCGUUGGAAGAUUGAAGGGGGCUGCUCCUAGUACGAGAGGACCGGAGUGGACGAACCUCUGGUGUUCGGGUUGUGUCGCCAGACGCAUUGCCCGGUAGCUAAGUUCGGAAUUGAUAAGCGCUGAAAGCAUCUAAGCGCGAAGCGAGCCCUGAGAUGAGUCUUCCCUGAUACUUUAAGUAUCCUAAAGGGUUGUUCGAGACUAGAACGUUGAUAGGCAGGGUGUGUAAGCGUUGUGAGGCGUUGAGCUAACCUGUACUAAUUGCCCGUGAGGCUUAACCAUACAACACCCAAGGGGUUUUGUA
rnacentral:rRNA from 2 species